rnacentral:lncRNA from 10 species
CUUUCAUCAAUUUUCCACAUGCCACAGUAAUUAUUUCCAAACACAGGUCACAGCAAGGCAUUGUCUGCUGCAAACUUUCCAGUGACCUCCCACACCCUCCAAGUGGAGGCUGAGGUGGCUCAGCACUGGUACGGCAAAGCUGUGUCUCUUCUGUCACUGCCACAUUGAAAGGAGGGCAGUCUUCAGAGGCCAUCAGAUCAGCAUUGGGUUCAGAUAUUUGUUCUCCAACCAUUAUAAAAUCUGUUCGUUUUCGAGGUGGACAUUACAAUUCAUUGUCUUCUUUCUGCAGAAGUUUACAACAAGCUUGAAUCAAAUAAAAAUGCUUUUGACCAUUUCUAAGCCUAAAGCAACAGGGAGCCCUGUUUAUUUCUACACGCUGAAGGAGUAAAGAGAAAGAUGAAUAGGUGUUCCCACACAGAAAGAACAGGGCAGCCAGCAGUUCUCACACCCUGGUAUUACUACUAAGAAUCACCCAUCAUAUUUGCCAAGAUCCAGAUCCUUGAGAUCCAGCCUCCAGAAAGUGAUUCACCAGGAAUGUGCUAAGGUCUGGGUUCUGCACUUUCAGCAAAAUUCCUAAGUUUUUCUAAGGUAAAUGGUACACAGU